UGAGGAAUAUUGGUCAAUGGGCGAGAGCCUGAACCAGCCAAGUAGCGUGCAGGAUGACGGCCCUAUGGGUUGUAAACUGCUUUUAUGUGGGGAUAAAGUGAGGGACGUGUCCCUUAUUGCAUGUACCAUACGAAUAAGGACCGGCUAAUUCCGUGCCAGCAGCCGCGGUAAUACGGAAGGUCCAGGCGUUAUCCGGAUUUAUUGGGUUUAAAGGGAGCGUAGGCUGUUUGUUAAGCGUGUUGUGAAAUGUAGGAGCUCAACUUUUAGAUUGCAGCGCGAACUGGCAGACUUGAGUGCGCACAACGUAGGCGGAAUUCAUGGUGUAGCGGUGAAAUGCUUAGAUAUCAUGACGAACUCCGAUUGCGAAGGCAGCUUACGGGAGCGCAACUGACGCUAAAGCUCGAAGGUGCGGGUAUCGAACAGG
rnacentral:rRNA from 1 species